UACGGGGGGGGCAAGCGUUGUUCGGAAUUACUGGGCGUAAAGGGUUUGUAGGUGGCUUGUUAAGUCAGGGGUGAAAUCCUGGAGCUCAACUCCAGAACUGCCUUCGAUACUGGAAAGCUCGAGUCCGGGAGAGGUGAGUGGAACUGCGAGUGUAGAGGUGAAAUUCGUAGAUAUUCGCAAGAACACCAGUGGCGAAGGCGGCUCACUGGCCCGGUACUGACGCUGAGGUGCGAAAGCGUGGGGAGCAAACAGG
rnacentral:rRNA from 1 species